rnacentral:rRNA from 1 species
AUUGAACGCUGGCGGCGGGCCUAACACAUGCAAGUCGAGCGGGGUUUUCGGACCUAGCGGCGGACGGGUGAGUAAUGCGUAGGAAGCUGCCCGAUAGAGGGGGAUACCAGUUGGAAACGACUGUUAAUACCGCAUAAUGUCUACGGACCAAAGUGUGGGACCUUCGGGCCACAUGCUAUCGGAUGCGCCUACGUGGGAUUAGCUAGUUGGUGAGGUAAUGGCUCACCAAGGCGACGAUCUCUAGCUGGUUUGAGAGGAUGAUCAGCCACACUGGAACGGAGACACGGUCCAGACUCCUACGGGAGGCAGCAGUGGGGAAUAUUGGACAAUGGGCGCAAGCCUGAUCCAGCCAUGCCGCGUGUGUGAAGAAGGCCUUCGGGUUGUAAAGCACUUUCAGCGAGGAGGAAGGGUGGUGUGUUAAUAGCACAUCAUUUUGACGUUACUCGCAGAAGAAGCACCGGCUAACUCUGUGCCAGCAGCCGCGGUAAAAC